rnacentral:rRNA from 1 species
GGAUGCGAUCAUACCAGCACUAAAGCACCGGAUUCCAUCAGAACUCCGAAGUUACGCGUGCUUGGGCGAGAGUAGUACUAGGAUGGGUGACCUCCUGGGAAGUCCUCGUGUUGCAUUCC